GGCGCGGCCGGGGGCGGGGCCUCAUAGCGGCUGCGGGGCUGGUGGGUCAGUUUCUGCGUCCCGCCUCCUGUCUCCCGCCUGGCUUUCGGUCGCGUGUCCCGAGAUAUCUGAGCUAAGUUUCAUCAAAGGCAGAUUUUCGUUUACUUUAGAUUUUCAUUUUUAAAAAUUUAACAAUUUUCUUUGCGUUUCUCCGUCCCUAACCAGAUCACAAAGCAGCUAGACAGUAGAAAAUUUGGAAAACGUGGGAGAAUCAAAUGAAAUUGAGAAAUCUCAGAAUGUCACAGCUUCAGGGCACGGUGGACCAGGGUUCGGCGUGGGCUCCCGUCUUGAGUCCCUUUUUUUUCUUAGCCACACAUUUUAUUGCAGAAAUUUUGGAAAAUUCGAAAAAUACAAAGAAGAAAAUAGCAAUAACCUGAUAUUCCACCACACGAGAUCACCAAUACUAACGUGGCAUUUUUCCUCCGUCUUUACAGAAUUACACACAUUUGAAACAAAACUGGGAACGUGCAGUAAAUACUGUUUUGCAACUUUCUCCUCUAACUCACGGCUAAUUAUAAA